rnacentral:snRNA from 1 species
AUCACUUCUUGGCCUUUUGACUAAGAUCAAGUUUAGUGUCUGUUCUUAUUAGUUUGAUACUGGAUAUGCCCUCUAUCCGAGGACAAUAUAUCAGAUGGGAUUUUGGAGCUGGGAGGUGAAAUAGGAGCUUGCUCCAUCCACUCUGUCUUCAACCUCCAGGAAUGGUGCCCCGCUCCAGGGAAAUAAGCAGUUGCAGGGUUAAAAAAAAAAA